CCCACCAAUAGGGAACGUGAGCUG
rnacentral:ncRNA from 2 species